UACGGAGGGGGCGAGCGUUGUCCGAAGUUACUGGGCGUAAAGGGCGCGUAGGCGGGGUGUCACGUCCGCUGUGAAAGCCUGGAGCUUAACUCCGAAACUGCAUUCGAUACUGCGGUGCUUGAGGACUGGAGAGGAGACUGGAAUUCAUGGUGUAGCAGUGAAAUGCGUAGAGAUCAUGAGGAAGACCAGUGGCGAAGGCGGGUCUCUGGACAGUUCCUGACACUGAGGCACGAAGGCCAGGGGAGCAAACGGG
rnacentral:rRNA from 1 species